AGCUACUUGCAUCAUUGUAAAUAUGAUGCAAGAUCGACUAUGUCGAAUAAAAUUCUAGGUAGAAUUAUGAUAAUGACAUUGUCUGCCUAUGUGUCUUGACCAAAUUACGUGCCAGCAGUCGCGGUAAUACGUAGAAGACUAGUGUUAUUCAUGUUUAAUCGGUUUAAAGGGUACCUAGACGGUAAAUCAAGCCUAAAAGGAAAUAAAUGAAGGGACUAAUUUACUAGAGUUACUUAUGAGGGGGUAUUAAAGUACUGCUGGUGUAGAGAUGAAAUUCUGUCAUACCUCUUUUCAAUAGAAAAUUAAUGGCACAGGUAUAGGCGAAAGCAUCCCCUUAUGUGAUAACUGACGUUGAGGGACGAAGGCUUUGUGUAGCGAACAGGAUUAGAUACCCCAGUAGUCAAAGCAGAAAAUGAUGAAUGUCAUAGAUUAGAUAUAUAAGUUUAUUCUAUAAAUGAAAGUGUAAGCAUUCCACCUCAAGAGUAAUUUGGCAACAUUGGAACUGAAAUCAUUAGACCGUUUCUGAAACCAGUAGUGAAGUAUGUUGUUUAAUUUGAUGAUCCGCAAAAAACCUUACCACAAUUUGAAUAUUUAUAUCUUUUAUUGUUUUUCUUUUUAACUUUUUCUAAUUUUCUACUUAAAAGAAAAAAAUAACAAGAAAAAAGAGACAAUA
rnacentral:rRNA from 1 species